CGAGUGAAGCGGGAAAAGCUCAAAUUUAAAAUCUGGCGGUCUUUGGCCGUCCGAGUUGUAGUCUGGAGAAGCGUCUUCCGCGCUGGACCGUGUAUAAGUCUCUUGGAACAGAGCGUCAUAGAGGGUGAGAAUCCCGUCUUUGACACGGACUACCAGUGCUUUGUGAUGCGCUCUCAAAGAGUCGAGUUGUUUGGGAAUGCAGCUCAAAAUGGGUGGUGAAUUCCAUCUAAAGCUAAAUAUUGGCGAGAGACCGAUAGCGAACAAGUACCGUGAGGGAAAGAUGAAAAGCACUUUGGAAAGAGAGUUAAACAGUACGUGAAAUUGCUGAAAGGGAAACGCUUGAAGUCAGUCGCGUUGUCCGGGACUCAGCCUUGCUUCGGCUUGGUGCACUUUCCGGAUGACGGGCCAGCAUCGAUUUUGACCGCUGGAAAAGGGCUGGAGGAAUGUGGCACCUUCGGGUGUGUUAUAGCCUCCAGUCGCAUACGGCGGUUGGGAUCGAGGAACGCAGCACGCCUCGUGGCGGGGGGUUUACCCUACCUUCGUGCUUAGGAUGCUGGCAUAAUGGCUUUAAACGACCCGUCUUGAAACACGGACCAAGGAGUCUAACAUGCCUGCGAGUGUUUGGGUGGAAAACCCGAGCGCGUAAUGAAAGUGAAAGUUGAGACCUCUGUCGUGGAGGGCAUCGACGCCCGGACCUGACGUUCUCUGACGGAUCCGCGGUAGAGCAUGUAUGUUGGGACCCGAAAGAUGGUGAACUAUGCCUGAAUAGGGUGAAGCCAGAGGAAACUCUGGUGGAGGCUCGUAGCGAUUCUGACGUGCAAAUCGAUCGUCAAAUUUGGGUAUAGGGGCGAAAG
rnacentral:rRNA from 1 species